rnacentral:rRNA from 1 species
UACGGGAGGCAGCAGUGGGGAAUUUUGGACAAUGGGCGAAAGCCUGAUCCAGCAAUGCCGCGUGCAGGAUGAAGGCCUUCGGGUUGUAAACUGCUUUUGUACGGAACGAAACGGUCCUUUCUAAUACAAGGGGCUAAUGACGGUACCGUAAGAAUAAGCACCGGCUAACUACGUGCCAGCAGCCGCGGUAAUACGUAGGGUGCGAGCGUUAAUCGGAAUUACUGGGCGUAAAGCGUGCGCAGGCGGUUAUAUAAGACAGAUGUGAAAUCCCCGGGCUCAACCUGGGACCUGCAUUUGUGACUGUAUAGCUAGAGUACGGUAGAGGGGGAUGGAAUUCCGCGUGUAGCAGUGAAAUGCGUAGAUAUGCGGAGGAACACCGAUGGCGAAGGCAAUCCCCUGGACCUGUACUGACGCUCAUGCACGAAAGCGUGGGGAGCAAACAGGAUUAGAUACCCUGGUAGUCCACGCCCUAAACGAUGUCAACUGGUUGUUGGGUCUUCACUGACUCAGUAACGAAGCUAACGCGU